CUAUAAAUUCAAGUCUUCAAAUUCACAGCUAUUCAUCUGCACUCCAAUUUUUAUAGCUUUCCGGCCUUGUUUUACUCAGUUUUCUGUCCAUCGAUGGGAACACCCCCAAUCGCUCAUGAAUCUUUUGCUUGGGAAUACGAUGUGUUCUUAAGCUUCCGAGGUGAGGAUACACGCAAAACUUUUACUGAUCAUCUUUAUUCUGCGUUGUAUCAAACUGGAAUCCGCACAUUUAGAGACGACGAAGAACUCAGGAAGGGUGAAUAUCUUGCUCCUGAGCUCACGAGAGCAGUUCAAAAUUCGAGAAUCUCUAUAAUAGUCUUCUCAAAAGAUUAUGCAUCCUCUAGGUGGUGCCUUGAUGAACUUGUGCAAAUUGUCGAGUGUAAGGAGAAGGGAAAACAAAUAGUUUUUCCUAUUUUUUACGAUGUUGAUCCUUCUGAAGUGCGUAAGCAAAGUGGGAAGUAUGGGUUGGCUUUUGCAAAGCACGAAGAACGUUUUGGGAAAGGAGAUAAAGUACAAAAGUGGAGAUCUGCGCUCACCAAAGUUGCAGAUAUGUCAGGAUGGGAUUUGCAAGGCAUCACCAACGGAUACGAAUCCAAGUUUAUCAAUACAAUAAUCGAUGAGGUUCGGUUGACAAUAAGACAAGUACCAGUGUUUGUGCCCGACACGGUAGGACUUGAUUAUCGUGUUGAGCAUGUGGUCCAGUUAUUGCUCAGAGAACCUCAUGAUGGUGUCCGUAUGAUUGGGAUACAUGGUAUGGGAGGUAUUGGAAAGACAACUCUUGCAAAAGCGGUCUAUAACAGACUUUUUGUAUACUUUGAAAGGAGCUGCUUUCUAGAGAUAGAUUCAACAAUUUUUGGGCAACAAGAAAAUGGAAUAAAUCUUGAGAAAGUAAACAAUCAGAUUAAAAAUAUACAAAAGCAGCUUUUUAAGAAGCUUUUUAAUGAGGAGAUUGACAUUGGCAGCAUAGAUGAAGGAAUCAUGUUGAUGAAAAGACGACUUCAAGCAAGAAAGUGUCUUAUUGUCUUUGAUAAUUUGGAGCAUAGAAAUCAAUUUAUUAAAUUAUGUGGAGGACGAGACUGGUUUGGUGAGGGAAGUAGACUUAUUUUAACCACAAGAGAGGCACAUGUUUUUAAAGAGCUGAAUGUGGACGAACAUUAUGAAGUUAAGGUAUUGAACCAUGAGGAGUCUUUGAAGCUGUUUAGCCUACAUGCAUUUGGAGAACUUGCGUUGCAAAAAGAAGAUUAUAAUAAGCUUCUAGAUGGCAUAGUUGCUUAUUGUGAGGGACUUCCAUUAGCUCUUGAAGUUUUAGGGGCUUAUCUGUGUCAUAAAUCGAAAAAGGAGUGGAUCAGUGCUUUUGAAAAAUUGAAAGGAAUUCCUCAUAAUGACAUUCAAGCUAAACUUAAGAUCAGUUAUGAUGGGCUUCCAGAUGAUCAUAUAAAAUCUCUUUUUCUUGAUCUUGUUUGUUUUUCCAGUGAAGUUUCUAAGAAGAAAAUUGAAUACAUGGGGUAUUUCUCAGACAUUGAAAUUCAAGACUUGGUUGACAAAUGCUUGAUAAAUCGUGAGCCGUCUUUGAUUAGUAUGCAUAGCUUAAUUCGAGAGAUGGGGAGAGAAAUUAUUCGUUCAGAGUCACCCAACAAUCCUGGUGAACGUAGUCGAUUGUGGUGUCCUUAUGAUAUCCAUGAUGUGCUUAUAGGGGGAAAGGGUACAAGAAAGAUUGAGGUGAUUGUAUUCAACUACUCUCCUAUGAAAGAUGUGAAGUACAAUACAAAAACAUUUAAGAACAUGGAGAAUUUAAGAAUUCUUGAAAUUGAUGAAGUCCAUCUUGAUGGAAAAUUCGAACAUCUAUCCAGUUCCAAGGUGCUUAGAUGUUUGCGAUGGAACCACUGCCCUUUGAAAUAUAUCAAUAUUUCAUCAAGAGAUUCCUUUGAGAAGCUUGUGAGCCUGGAAAUAGUGAACAGCAACAUCAAAGAAUUUAAAGCUCCUCUAAAGUAUUUUCCUUGUCUCGAGUCUUUGGAUAUGGUUGGGUGUCAUCAUCUCACAAGAACUCCAAACUUUAGCGGCUGUCAAAAUCUAUGUAAGUUAUCAUUUCUGGCAUGCUCAAGUUUGUUAAAGGUGCAUUCUUCCAUCGGAGAAUUGGGGAAAUUAGUUUCGUUAACUUUUGGUGGCUGUCAAAAGUUAAAGAAAAUUCCAAAGAACGUAAGCCAUUUGCGGUCACUACAAGCUCUUGAUAUGUUUGGUUCGUCAGAACUUAAAGCAUCCCUUGAAAUUUUUGGAAAUUUAACCUCAUUACAAACACUAAGUCUUUCCCGUACCAGUACUUAUGGGGGGCUCUCCAACCUGUCUCAUUUGCUCAACCUUAAAUCAAUUCGGAUGAAUUUCUGCAAGAACCAAGAAGUACUCCAACAACUUCCUCACACUGUUGAAUGGGUCUACUUGUAUCAUUGUGACAAUCUAAAAAUGAUCCAAGAGCUUCCACUUAACCUUAGGAGUAUUUUUUUAGAGAGUUGCAAAAGUCUUAAAAUGCUUCCAAUUCUUCCUCCCAAUCUUGAGGAUAUUCAUUUAGAUGGUUGCGAAAGUCUUGAAAUGUUGCCGGAACUUCCUCUCAAUCUUGAGAGAAUUAGGUUAACUAGUUGCAAAAACCUUAAAAUGCUCAGUGGAUUUCCUUCCAAUCUUAGUGAUAUUUUCUUAGGUGGUUGUGAAAAGUUUGAAAUGCUUCCAGAACUUCCUCUCAAUCUUUCUGAAAUUAGGUUACAUGAUUGGAAAAAUCUAAAAAUGCUCCCAGAACUUCCUCACAAUCUUAGGAAAAUUAUAUUAUAUAGGUGCAAAGAUCUUAAAAUGCUUCCAGAACUUCCUCUCGACCUUUAUAAAAUUAGUCUAUCUAGUUGCAGGAAUCUUAAAAUGCUUCCAAAAUUUCCUCCCAAUGUUACUAAAAUCUACUUAGAUGAUUGUCAAAACCUGAAAUUGCUCCCAGAACUUCCUCCUGGACUUCAAAAUCUUAUAGUUACAAAUUGUGAGUUGAUAGAAAAAGUAUCAAACUUAUCAAAUUGUACGGGGUUGCGUCAUUUGCAUCUCAUUAGUUGCAAAAAGUUGAAGGAGUUUAAAGGUUGGGAGAAUCUUCAUUCCAUAAGGACAAUUGAGUUUAGAGGUGUUCCCCAUACCGAUUUCUCAGAAAGCAUUAAGAAGGUUUUAAUACGCUCCAUGAAUUCCAAUGGUUCUUUUGAUUGUUCUCUUACUUAUAAUGAAAUUCCUGAUUGGAUUAGAUGUCGAAAAGAAAGAUCAUCAAUAUCAUUCCAAUAUCCAUCAUCCAAUUUGAACAAUUAUACAUUGGAAUUUUAUGGAUUUGUUUUUUGGGUUGUGUUCAAUCCGGCUCCACUACUCCCGCCACUUUAUUGUCAUUAUGACAUCAGAAUUGAAAAGCAUGAUUCCAAAGCCUUCCCACCAACAUGGUAUAAUCAUCAUGGGAUCCAAUUAGAAGUGGAAGGAAUUUCAUUUUUACAUGUCAUUACAGCUAAUGAUCUUUAUGAUUAUUAUGGGUGUGGAGAUAUAAAAGCCGGGGAAGUCAUCAAAGCUACACCGAUAAUUGAAAUUUAUGAGGGAUUGUACAGAGAUGGGAUCAGAUCAUCAUUAGGUGAAGCAAAUUUGGUGAAGAAAAUAGGAGUUAAAGCAAGUGUGGUGAAGAAAAUUGGAAUUGAAGCAUUGUACAUAGAUAAAGAUGGCUCCCUACAACUUCUACCCCUCACUAAAGUUGGGUAAAACACUGAAGAAGAAGAAGAAGAAUUUUUUCUGAAAGUGCCAAAAAUGAGACCCAAAAAAAUAUUUUUGUUUAUCAUGUUGUGUACGUCUCAUACCUACUCAAGGAUGAUAGGCGUUGGACAAAAUGGAGUAGAGCAUAGUGACCGAAGCACUCUUCUUUUGUGCAUAUAGCGGAGUGCGUCGAGGGUGUGAUACAUGGUUAAUUUAGUACAUGUUAAUGAUUUCAUAAGAUACCCAGACCAUCCGAGCCACAGGUCCACUGGGUCUUUCUCUCCGUCUGUUUAAUAGUCCGGAGUCCACCCACGUUCGCUCCGGGAGGCACAGAAGCUGGCCCAUGAGGAAUCGUCACUUGUGGAAUUGAACUCAGGUUCUCCCGAAAUUCCUCCCCACAAAGAGAGCUCACUUGACACAUGACACAAAGUAAUGAUUUUCUAUUAAUUAUUUUUCCAAGUCUUAAUGCAUAUAUCUGUUUGAUUUUCUGAAUUUUGUGUAUUUCACUUUGCCCCUAUAUAUGAGUUCAAGUACGGUAAAUACCUUCAAAUAGUAGCCGCAUAUUUUCUCCAUCACACAAAAAAGUUACACAUUAAUAAUUAAUUUUUUAGUACUACUAACUCUGUUAUACAUUAAUAUGGCGAACUUCUAGUUGAAAUAGUCAAAGGCUUGAUAAUUAACAUUUUAAUUUUUGUUUUAACCAAAA